rnacentral:rRNA from 1 species
CUAAAGAUGGCGACCGGCGCACGGGUGAGUAACACGUAUCCAACCUGCCGAUAACUCGGGGAUAGCCUUUCGAAAGAAAGAUUAAUACCCGAUGGUAUAAUCAGACCGCAUGGUUUGAUUAUUAAAGAAUUUCGGUUAUCGAUGGGGAUGCGUUCCAUUAGGCAGUUGGUGAGGUAACGGCUCACCAAACCUUCGAUGGAUAGGGGUUCUGAGAGGAAGGUCCCCCACAUUGGAACUGAGACACGGUCCAA